rnacentral:rRNA from 1 species
AUUGCUCUAGUAACGGCGAGUGAAGCAGCAAUAGCUCAAAUUUGAAAUCUGGCGUCUUCGACGUCCGAGUUGUAAUUUGUAGAGGAUGCUUCUGAGUAACCACCGACCUAAGUUCCUUGGAACAGGACGUCAUAGAGGGUGAGAAUCCCGUAUGCGGUCGGAAAGGUGCUCUAUACGUAGCUCCUUCGACGAGUCGAGUUGUUUGGGAAUGCAGCUCUAAAUGGGAGGUAAAUUUCUUCUAAAGCUAAAUAUUGGCCAGAGACCGAUAGCGCACAAGUAGAGUGAUCGAAAGAUGAAAAGCACUUUGGAAAGAGAGUUAAAAAGCACGUGAAAUUGUUAAAAGGGAAGGGAUUGCAACCAGACUUGCUCGCGGUGUUCCGCCGGUCUUCUGACCGGUCUACUCGCCGCGUUGCAGGCCAGCAUCGUCUGGUGCCGCUGGAUAAGACUUGAGGAAUGUAGCUCCCUCGGGAGUGUUGUAGCCUCUUGUGAUGCAGCCAGCGCCGGGCGAGGUCCGCGCUUCGGCUAGGAUGCUGGCGUAAUGGUCGUAAUCCGCCCGUCUUGAAACACAGACCACCAUUAC